rnacentral:rRNA from 1 species
UGGGGAAUAUUGCACAAUGGGCGCAAGCCUGAUGCAGCCAUGCCGCGUGUGUGAAGAAGGCCUUCGGGUUGUAAAGCACUUUCAGCGGGGAGGAAGGCGGUGAGGUUAAUAACCUCAUCGAUUGACGUUACCCGCAGAAGAAGCACCGGCUAACUCCGUGCAAGCAGCCGCGGUAAUACGGAGGGUGCAAGCGUUAAUCGGAAUUACUGGGCGUAAAGCGCACGCAGGCGGUCUGUCAAGUCGGAUGUGAAAUCCCCGGGCUCAACCUGGGAACUGCAUUCGAAACUGGCAGGCUAGAGUCUUGUAGAGGGGGGUAGAAUUCCAGGUGUAGCGGUGAAAUGCGUAGAGAUCUGGAGGAAUACCGGUGGCGAAGGCGGCCCCCUGGACAAAGACUGACGCUCAGGUGCGAAAGCGUGGGGAGCAAACAGG